CCCCUCCCAGCAAGAUUUUUAUGUUCAAGUGGGGUCUCCUGUAGCUCAGUUGUGCUGACUGCCACUUGCCCUGUCAUGGUUCACCACUGAGAAGUGCACGGCUGCAUCUUCUCCAUAUCCUCCCCUCAGGAUGGCUCAGGACAUGGCGUUCACCAGCUCUGCCCCGAUGCCACCCCUGCACACCAAGCAGCAGCUGCUGAUCACCAUGCUGAGGUACCCACGUCUCGGCACAAGGAGACCACACAUGCUGCACGGCAAAGCUCUGCACCCCAUGCACAAGGGUCAGACAGGAGGAGCUGGCCCAGCUGAGCUGUCAGCCAUUCAGGUUGGAAACUGAAGGAGCUGCAUCUGGCCUUUCCACCUACACAUUUGAUUGUGCUCAGCAUUCCUUGGGUGGGAGAAGUAGGUUUCAUUUGAAGGACACACUACUCAUGAGGGCUAGAAUUGUCUGAAGUUCAGCACGAGUUGUUGCUCAUAUGCCAACAAAGGCUGGCCCAGGUGCAGAGAGAAGGCCCUCCUCCCAUUUUGGAGAGCCAAGAGAACCAGGCACCAAAAGGCACAAAACAGCAACCACACUGUUCCUCUAGAGUAACAAAGACCUAAACAAGAAAGCAAGUUAAAGGCCUGUCUUAAAAUUGCCACACGCAGUGCUGACCGCAGUACAAACUGAAUGAAGUUGGACAUCAGGCGGAACAACACACAGUCCAGAUUCUGCUUCAUUAAACAAUCCAUAAGUACAUUUGUCACACAUGAAAUUACAUACUUCACUUGUAUGAGAGAAGCAGCAAUAUAUUUAUUGAUAUAAGGUAGUGAACUAACUAAGCUUAGUUGUAAAAAAGACAGAAACUUAAGAUUAGGUAGGAAGGUACACUUGAUUAUUUACUGCACUGAGGACAUGCAAGUCAGGCAUGUCUGGGAGACCCUCCCAUUGAGGUCAUGAACCAUGAGGUUCAGAGUGGACCCCCUUGCUUUCUAAACCCCUUGAACCAAAGAGGUAAGGAGCUUAGGUGCGGCUGAAUCCACUCCUAGCCCCAGACUUGGUCAAUGGUUUAUGUCAAAAGGUUUGAGGGGACCCUCCCAUUGAGUCCUGAGGUUCAGAGUAGACCCCCUUGCUUUCUAAACCCCUUGAACCAAAGAGGUAAGGAGCUUAGGUGCGGCUGAAUCCACUCCUAGUCCCAGACUUGGUCAACAGCAUCCCAACAGUAACAAGUCACAGUAAGACCAGUACUGGUAUCCAUUCCUUAAUCAUGCUUAUACAUAUCUGCUUUUCUACCUCCUUGUCAGGAUAAUAAAAUUAAAAAAAAAAAAAAAAAAAAAAAAAAGGAUUAGGAGAUACAGAGAUUUACCUCUUGGUGAGUCCAUCAUUGCAUUCCACCACAUAACUGCUGGCUCACUUCGCUUCUUCAAGUCAAGCCCCAAAGCCAUUCAGCUCCUUGCAGCACUCCCAAGUCACACACAACUACAGCAAGACAAAAAGCCCUUCUGCAACAGGACCUACCCCCAGCAGACCUUUUCCUCUGC